rnacentral:rRNA from 1 species
UACAGAGGUCCCAAGCGUUGUUCGGAUUCACUGGGCGUAAAGGGUGCGUAGGUGGUCGGGUAAGUCUGAUGUGAAAUCUCCGAGCUUAACUCGGAAAUGGCAUUGGAUACUAUUCGGCUAGAGGGUUUGAGGGGGGACUGGAAUACUUGGUGUAGCAGUGAAAUGCGUAGAUAUCAAAGUGGAACACCAGUGGCGAAGGCGAGUCCCUGGAAAACUCCUGACACUGAGGCCACGAAAAGCUAGGGGAGCAAACAGG